rnacentral:lncRNA from 1 species
GAGAAGUUUUGGAUCCAUUAAAACAUUUAAUCCUGCUGCAAAUGUUUGCACCUGUCCUUAGUCAGGAAUCUGAUGUACAGUAGUUGUCGUUUGUUUAUGUAAUUUAUAAGUGUUUCUCGGUUUUCGUUUUUUUGUUUUAUAUAGAUUAGACCGUUGGUUUUCCCGUUUGAAUGGUUUUACACUAGUAAUUUUGGGGCCCUUUAUAGCUUGUUGUUCGGUGUGAGCCAAGGCUCUGUGUUGAAGGCCGUACAUUGACCUAUAAUGGUUUACUUUUUUUAAAUUGUUAUUUGGAUGGAGAGUUGUCUCAUUGGCACUCGCACCACAUCUUCCUAUAUCUAGACAAUGUGAUUUAUCAUGUAAAGUAGGUCUUCAGCAGUGGUCAAUAUCCUUCUAAUAAUGAGGU